rnacentral:rRNA from 1 species
UACGUAGGGUGCAAGCGUUGUCCGGAAUUAUUGGGCGUAAAGAGCUCGUAGGCGGUUUGUCGCGUCUGCUGUGAAAACUCGGGGCUUAACCCCGGGCCUGCAGUGGGUACGGGCAGACUAGAGUGAUGUAGGGGAGACUGGAAUUCCUGGUGUAGUGGUGGAAUGCGUAGAUAUCGGGAGGAACACCAGUGGCGAAGGCGGUUGCCUGGAGCUUUGCUGACGCUGAUGCGCGAAAGCGUGGGGAGCGAUCCGG